rnacentral:rRNA from 1 species
CUUUAAACGGGGAGGAAGGUGGGGGGGUUAAUCCCGGGAGCAAUUGCCUUUACCCGCAGAAGAAGCACCGCUAACUCCGUGCCAGCAGCCGGGGGAAUACGGAGGGCGCAAGUGUUCAUCGGAAUUACUGGGCGUAAAGCGCACGCACCUGGUAUUUCAAGUCGGAUGUGAAAUCCCCGGGCUCACCGUGGGAAAUGCAUUUGAAACGGGCAGGCUGGGGUGUUGUAGAGGGGGGUAGAAUUCCAGGUGUAGCGGUGAAAUGCGUAGAGAUUUGGAGGAAAGACGGUGGCGAAGGCGGCCCCCUGGACAAAGGCCGACGCUCAGGUGUGAAAGCGUGGGGAGCAAACAAGAUUCGAUCCCCUGGCAGUUCACCCCG